UUGUCUACAAAUUUUGUAACUUCACUGUCCACCCCCUUUUCCAGAUCAUGUAUGUAUAUGUCGAACAGCAUAGGUCCCAAUACAGAUCCUUGGGGGACCAUGCUAUUUAUUGUGAAAAUUGAUCACUUAUUCCUACACUUUUCCCCCUAUCUUUUAACCAGCUACUGAUCCAUGAUAGCACCUUCCCUCUGAUCCCAUGAUUGCUUACUUUGCUUAAGAAAUUUAAGAGCCAUACAGAUAAUGGUUUGUGGAAGGAGGAGGCAAAAAGAAAGGUUCUGGCUGGCUGCUGUGUCACCAGGGAAGUAUGGUGGAAGCUUCAAGUCUGAAAUAUUUUUACAUGGUCUGAGCGUGUCUACUUCUCUGCUUUGCUACAAGGCUGUCUAUUCCUUGGCAACGGUUUGCUUAUUGUUUCAGCUUCAGGUUCAGCUGAAUCAGCGCUAAGCAAAUUGCUGGUACUCUCCUUAGUAUUUGUUUCCCUUGUAAAAAUGAUCAGCUACAAGUCUAAAAGGCUACUGCAUCAAAACCAGAGAAACACCAAACAACAAAAGAUUGUAUUUAUCUAUUUUCUUUGAGGGCUUGGGAACAGUUUAGUCUUGCAUGGCUUAUCAUCAAAAUGGGUUUAUCAGCACUGCCUGAAGUGUGAGACCGGGACAAGAUAGAUGUUGCUAUACAUGUUUGUUUGGUUUUCUUUGUGUGGGGCGGGGGGUUGAUUUUUUUUAGUGAUUUUCCUUUUCCAGUCUCUUGGUCCUUCUCUCUGUUUGUUGCAUAACUCAGGUUACUUUAAAUGGUCUGUUUCCCUUUGAAUUUCUUUUUGUUUGUUUGCCCUCCUCUUUGCUAGUGGCUAAAUUAAUAAUACCUUACCACUAUUCCAGAGAAUGUCAUGGCUGCUACCACACACUGCUGUUGCGGUGGUGUUGAGCCAGUAACUAGAAUAAUUAUGAGGAAUCUGCUUCUCUGUGGAGACUUGAACCAAGAACAGAGGCUCUCAUAGCAGCAUUAGCAGCAGCACUAACUAAGGAUUUCCAUUUUCCUGGGAUAAGUAACACUUGUAGCUUCUUUCCAGGCCUCCAGCCAUGAAGGGUGAGUAUGUUAUAUCAUUUUACAAGUGAUAUCACCUCUUAGAACAGUAUGUGUGAGCUGUUUAUGGGAAGAAAAAAUAAUUAAAUGCAAGAUUAUGAGAUGAUGGAAGAUCUCAGGGGACUGAUGGUGAACUAUAGAAAUGUCCAUCACAUGGGCACAUGUACUUGUAACAAAAAUCAGCACCACAGCAGUCUCAGCAGAGAUGCAUAGGAGUGAACUGGUAUGCAGACUGAAUGACCCUCUCAUCUCUAGAGUGGUCAUUCCAGGUCAGGACUAGAAUGCAUUGGUGAGGUUGUAACAAAGAAUGGUGAAGAGAUUUGAAAGCUAAUUAAGUUAGCCACUUAGGGGCUGUCCAUAAAUUGUGUAACACAGUAGUGGAUGGGUGGUUCUUAAUUGUGCGUGUUUGUUUGAGUGUUACAAGGGGUGGGUGGGUCUUGAAAAUCACCAAAAAAUGUGUUACCUAAUUUAUGACAGUCCCCUGGACCAAAAUCCUAAAAGGUAUUGAGGUGCCUAUCUCCUAAUCAGUGGGAGUUAGGAAACUCAGUACCUUUGAAGAUCUGGGCCUUAGGGCCUGUUUCUCACCAAGGUGCCUUUACAAUGUAAAGGAGCCUCAAAAUGGAUAUUAAUAUAAUUUACACCCACUUAACUUCUACACUGCCAGAUUGGUAUAAUGGGGCCUUAGGGUGAAAGAGAAUUAGGCCUUUACUUUCUCAGUUCUCAUUUACCCCAAAGAUAGCCUUGUUAACCAUGUUACCAUCUCCAAUGUUUAGGGCUACCCAACAGUGCAUUGUGGUUAAUACAUGGCUCCUCAUAUCAGUUUUAAAUCAGUUUGUAUAAGAAACUUUGCACAGACUUAUCUUACCACCACCAUUCACCACAGGUGCUACAUGUAUCAUAACACGAAGCUCGUUUUUAAAAAAAAUCAGGGCCCUUUAAGAUGAAAUCACAAAAAGUAAUGCCUAAUGGAACCAUGUCAGUGAUGUCAUCCAGAAAAGAGUUAAUGGACAGGAGAGAUCUAAUAUAGAAGUAAAACACCAGCCCCAGAUUUACAGAAGGGACUGAUAAUUUUUGGUACCUACAUUUUCUAUUGUCCAAUUUGAGAUGCUUUAAAGGGACCUAAUUUUCAGAAAGUGCUGAGCAACUGCCCUUUGCAAAUCAGGCUCCUUUAAUGCAUAUCAAACUGAGCACCCAAAAUCACCAGUCAGUUUUGAAAUGUCUUGCAGCUAGUCUCCAAGGAGGAUGUUGCUGGUGGCACUUUUCUAUUGCACUCCCUCCUGGCUACUGCAUGUAAUUCUAUAAAUAUUGCUGUCAAAUCAAAGGCCAGGCAUUCCCCACUCUCUUGGAUUACUAGGUAUGGGACUGUGUCUUCAUAUAUGCAUAGAAAGUGCCUAGCACAUGGUGGAUGCUCCCAAAAUCCAAACAAAAAUAAUCAGAUGCUUACAGAACAGUGGUCAAGGGCAAAAAAACAGUAAAACGGCAGGCCUAACUGCUGGAGAAACCAGAAUGUCUUUUGAAAGUGCAUCUGUACUGCCUAGAGUAUGCAAAUUUUAGAUCUUUAGCAACAAGCUGACAAGAUAGAAUGCAUAUAGUUACUUAAUCUAAUUAAAUGUGCCAACUCCUAAUCAAGAUAUAAAAGUACAUAAUGCUCUGUUUCAUUACAGCAGUUUUAUUAAAAUGUGCUAUUGUUGCAGCAGGAUAGCAGUAUGUAUCAUGGCUAACUAUUAUAUUGGCAGAUUGGCUGUUAACACUUGGUAGCUAGAUAUGAGUCUUCCAAUUAGCUUAGAACAGAGAUUUAGAACCCAUCAGCAAUCUUCUUUUAAAAUUUCUCAGUUAAACUGUAAUGGCAGCAAAGCCAAGCUUUUGGUACUGUGACAUCUCAAGUGUCUCUCUGUGAGGUGUGCUGACUUUAGGACAGAUUCUGAUGUUCUUUACACCUGUCAAGUAAUACCUGACACCACAUGUGAGCCCAAUGAGGAUAAUGGGAUCACUCAUGGAGUAAAGUAAGAGUAACGGUAUCAGAUUCUAGCCCUUUGUGUGUUGGAGGGAGCAACGUCACCAACACAGAGGGGAAAAGACCCGCUAUUACAGGCAGCUACAGAUGUUUGUUUUUAGCUCAUGUGAUAGAGUCCUGUGUUUUUGGAGCUGAAGUACAAGGAUUCUAGUCUUAGUUCUUCCCUUUGUGUUUGAUUUAUGUAAUAACUGAGCCUGUUCUCUGCAGUGGACGUUCUUAUUAAAACUCCCAACAUCCUUGAAUUUUGAGUCGUUCCCUUUCCAUGGCUUCCUCCUCUGCAUCAAGUUAAAGGACAUCCAUUUCUCUCUUGUCUUUUGGCUGCCUGCACUCAUGCCCAUCUGUUAAGAUAGGCUGAUGUUGCUUUCAAAUUAGACUCUUGCUCAGGCAUAGAUCUCAGGUGAAGAUGGGAUUAUAUGAGUUGUCCACUUAACAAUGGAAGCAUCAUCUCUUAAGCAGGAAGUAUUCCUUUGUGCUAGCUCUAAAGAACUGGUAAUACAUGUCUCUGUGCUUAAUCCCACGUGUUGACACUUAGUAUAUUGUACAUAUACAUCAUACAAAUCUUAAACAGCAGAGUGUGCUUGCUAGUAGAAAGGAAGGCAAAAUUACAGAGGUCAGGAGCACUUCUAGAGUCUAACACUAUGUUUUGCUACUGCUGAUACCCUGAAGACCCCCUGAGUUGGCCAAAUGUAUGAAAUGCAAGAAUACUGUUUGCAUUACUUCUGUGUAAAUGUAAUGUCAUGGAUGGCAGUGGUGCAUUGGUCACAAACUAAAGAGAGGAGAUGCGAACUUACAUCAAAAAAAAAAAUCAAGCAGCCUAAGAAUUGCAACUUGCUUCAUGAGUAGUAAGGUGUACUGAUGCUUGCUUACCUGAGGCAAAGGCAAAAACAUUUACAUGUGUUGGUUCUAAGUGAAAAUUACCCUUAUUUGCACAGAACGUGUUAAAAUAAAAUAUUGGUGCAAAGCA
rnacentral:lncRNA from 1 species